CCUCAAAAGACAAAAAAUAAAAAAAUUAAAAAAAUUAAGACAAGAAGAAGAAACAUCAGAGAGUUUGCUUAUUCUCUCUCUUUCUAUAUGUACCAAGGAGAAGAAAGUCUAUAUGAACACACAGCAAGAAGGCUACCAUCUGCAGGCCAGGAAGAGGGCCUUCAAUAGGAACUGAAUUAACCAGUACCAUGAUUUUGGAUGUCCUAUCCGCCAGAACUGUGAGGAAUACAUUUCUAUUCUCUAAACCAUUGUGUAUAUGGUAUUUUACUAUGGAAACCUGAGCUAAGACAUAGGCUAACUCAGAGAUUACAACAAUGGGAAGGCACUACUCUCCCUAGGAUAGAAGGACAAAUUGAGAAGGCAGUGUUAUUAGCACCCUGGGUCUGAAGGCAUCUGAAGGAGGCUGGAACCAUGACAGCCUGUCCUUUGGGAGCUGGGAGGACAGAGAAGAUGCAGCCUGGUCAAAAGAGAAAUGGGGAGAAACACCCUGACCUUUUCUCUCCCUCCUGUUCUCUAAUCUUCCAUUAGGGCCUCCCACCAGCAGAAUAAUGUGAAACAGCUGUUAUUUGGCAAGAGAAACUUCAGGGCUGUGGACUUUGUGACAGGGGGGCAGAACAGGAAAGGGGAUGGAUGGAUGUGAGGGCAUAUAUAUCCAGGAAUGCAGAAGAUGCUUUGUUUAGCUGACACAGUGUCUUUGAAAAGCUCUGCUGUCUUGCCCGUGGAUGGGGCAUGUUCUUGCAGGUUAGGCUUGGCACAGUGUCAGCCCAAGCUGUUCCAUAGCUGCUUUAACCCCUGCUUUAACGGAUAGGUGAUGGAAGGCAGGUAAAGGUGUUUUAAAAGUAGAGACAGUAUGGAGAAAGGCAUGAGGGCUAAAAUAGAAUGCCACAGAUGGCAAUUUCUAUACCUUUUUUUUAAGCUAGCCUGGGCCUCCAAAGUUGUAAUUUCUAAAAGAAAUAGCUCUUGACUCUUAAUAUUCCAUAGUGAAAUCCAGAGCAUGACAGGUUUCAAAUUGUGUCUGUGAGCAUCUUCUAUUUGAAAAGCUAUUUCAUGUGCAUCUGGAGUCAACUAAAUAAGGCAAUAUGAUGUUCACAUGGGCUCAGCCUCAUUCUUUGUAAAUCAUUACAGCUGUGUAAGGGGCGGGCCCAUACAUAAUGACCCUUGGUCCUGUGUCUGUAAGCCUGACCCAGCCAGCCAGCGUCCGUCUCUCUGCGCCAACUGCAGAGAACUCAGCAGAUAUUUAACAACAGAGAGGGAAUGAGGAUGUUUGAGAACUUUAACCAAGGCCAGGAUAAAGGACAAGGUUAGUCAAUACGGUGGGAAUGGGCUGGUGAGGUCCAGACUAUAGGCUUCAGAGGCUUCCUGCCUGUCUGACUGCAGUUCAGCCUGUUACUGUGCCCUGCAUACAAAGGGGGGCUAGUGUGGGGCUGUGUCUGCCUGGAGAGGAGGGGAGCACCUCAUUAUACGCUAGACAAGGUGCUGGAUGGUGGCUCCUACAGCACCCAGACUGUGGAGAGCAUGUCUUUAUUUCGAAGCCCUCUCAUUAAAGUCAAUGUGUCCCAUUCAAACCUUUCCAAAUGUGGAGAUAAGUAGGGGUUUAUGCUGCAGACUAGACCCAUCCUAACCUUUCUUACCAGGUGGUUUCUGUGCUCCAUUUGCACAUCCUAUUUUGGUCUCCCAUGCUCCCAUUCAGUUUUGCUCAUUUGUCUUUAUUGUUUUGGAAUAGUCUUUGGCUUUAGGGUGACUUUGCCCUGAGGAGAGCAGGGUACGGUGACAAUUCGUUCUAACCAGCCUUGAUUGCAGGAGCCAUGGACAUAGGCAUUUCCAGGGCAGGGUGGUCCCUGGAGCAGACUAAGCAGGCAAGGAAGGGGUGGCCACCCUCCCAGCCCAUCCAAAGGGGGAAUGCUCAGCCUGAAUGGAUUACAGGCCAUGGGCGCUCAGGCCCUGUGUUGCUGGCUUUGGUAUAUUUCAAGAAAGUUUGGAGACCUCUGUGCAAAUUUUCAAGUAUGGGAAAUUAAUUCUAAAAGUUUUAAAACAAUGUGUCAGUUAUAGAAUCCACUUCUGUGGUCAAAAUAUGGCCCAGGGGCCAACAGUUUGCUAUCUUUGACUUGCGGAGCAUUGGUCUGUUCCAGGAUUGGACUGUGGGCAGCAACAAGGUGAGUGAGAUGGUGUUGCUGUCCUGAAGGGGCUUCAGGGUUGGGGAUAUAACUGGAAAACCUAAGACAUGCUGUAGAGAGAUUCUAGGAAAUACUGCAGGUGCCCUAACAGAAGAGUUUUUAUGAAAAUAAUCUUUAAGUGGUUUUUACAUGAAAUAGUAAUUCCACCUAAAAAUCACUGAACUUUAAAAUAGAGGAAGCCCUCCUCUUCUGUUUUUAGGGUCCAUGGUAUGCAACAGGCUUAAAGGUGAGGUUACUUUAGUAAUGAGUCCUUUCAGGACUUCACUAAACAAAUUCCCUGAGGCAGGAGCUCCUGUCCUGGCUCAGUGGUUAACAAAUCUGACUGUGAACCCUGAGGUUGCGGGUUCAAUCUCUGGCCUCGCUCAGUGGGUUAAGGAUCCAGCGUUGCUGUGAGCUGUCGUGUAGGUCUCAGACGCAGCUCAGAUCCCGCAUUGCUGUGACUCUGGCAUAGGCUGGCAGCUACAGCUCUAAUUAGACCCCUAGUCUGGGAACCUCCAUAUGUGGUGGGUGUGACCCCAGAAAUGACAAAAAGACAAAACAAAAAACAAAUAUACAAAUCCCCUGAGGGAAGGGGCUUAAACUUUGCUGAUUUCCACUCAGGAGUGUUACAGUGAAAUUCCUGUGUAAAUAGUGAAAUAGGAUUUCAAAAGAUUUCUUUUUAUCUAGGCAGGAUGAUUGAUGAGAGGUAAUCCUUUGAGAUGUGUCCGCAUGCUCAGCAGCCCAGCUGUUCUAGAACUUCCCAAAUGUGGAGCUUGGCAGGUUGUAGCAAAGCCAGACCUGAGGAGACAUCUGAGGUAGGGCUCUGCUUGGGGGCAGAUCCAGCUGACAGAGACCCCAGUCAGCAGGACAUCUGAGUCAGGAUCUGGUGAUUAUCUCAUUAUCCCUGGAGCCCCCAUGGCCCUGGGCUCCCACCUCUUCCGAGGCUCUACACAGGCUAUAUUACAAUUAGCUGUGCUUUCCUUCUAGUAGGACCCAAGCAUUUUGGGGCAUGGUCAAUAUCUUUAUAUGCUUGUGCUUAAUGGAAGGCUGGUAUGAAGAGGCAUUGAAUGUCAGUUAAAUGGAUGAGUAAGUGAUAUAUGGAACAAAAACCUAGCCAGGUUUACAGCAUCUGGGAGAUUCAGCAAGAGGUGCCAAUUGGCAGGUGGGUGGGGCACCAUGAUGGGCAGUUUUGAGUUGCAGGUGUCUGGAGACCCCAGCCUGUGAGUAGAGGCUGAAGUCAAGAGCAGUCCCUAGCUUUGGGGCAAGGGUGGAUCAUCAAAGUAGGACUCAGUAGGAGAUGGCACAACCUGGAUUCCAGGUCAUAGGACUGAGGAACAGAGUACAGCUUCAGGACAACAGCGAGCCAGGGCUAAGAAUGUGUGUGCUGACAUCUAAGACCUUCAAGUUCAAAUCUCGGUUCUACCUUUUCCUGAGUAAUUGUGUAAUAGACUUGACUUUGCUGUGCCUCAGUGUCUUCAUCUCUUAAGGGGGUUAUAAUUGUUAGGAAGAUAAAAUUAGUUGUGUGUGAAGCAGUUAGGUUAGGACCUGUCAGCGAAUUAUUAAUAAAAACAGAGAUAGGGCUUGAUUAGUAGCAGCAUAGUAGAUGCUGAGAAUCAGUCUCAGGUAUUUUGAAAACUGUACCUCUCUUUACCCUCAUCUCAACUGGGGUGUUGAGAAUACAUACUACGGCAUGAUUAGUAACAGGAUACUUGAUGCUGAGAACUGGGAGUUGGGGGAUCUAUCUCAGGUAUUUUGAAAACCUUAUCAUUCUUUACCCACACCCCAACCAGGGUAUUGAGAAUACACACUAUAUUUCAAAGGCUUUCUAGAAAUUCUGAUAACUCCCCCUCCAUGCACUCUUCUUCAGAUAACUUGCAUUUUUAUUUCUUUGAAUCAUUCCCCCAAAAUUCCCUAAUACCGUGUUAGGGGAUUUUCCAGGAUGUGAAGACAAAAUAUCCCCAGAUGGUGGUUACUAAAAGGAUAUUGGGGCAGGUAGGAUUGAUGCAUCCAUGAAUCAUAGCACAUGCAGUGCCUGGGGCCCAUGAUGCUUAGGGAUUCACAAAAGUGUUUUAAAUUCUUUCACAAUGAGAAAAAGAAAAAUGAACUUUCAGGUUGGGAAAAAUGUUUUCAUACAUAAUAUUAAGUUAAUAUAAUCAUAUUUGUGCUGAUUUAGACAUAAAAUAUUAAGUAUAUUUUAUGAAACNGAAGUGGUCUAUAAAAGCAAGUGAGUCAAAUAUUAAAGAGCCAUUAAAGAGAAUGAAAUAAUGCUAUUUGUAGCAACAUGGUUGGACCUAGAGAUGACCAUAUUGAGUGAAGUCAAAGACAAAUAUCAUAUGAUAUCACUUAUUUGUUGAAUCUUAAAAAUGAUAUAAUUUCAGAAGUUCCCAUUGUGGCGCAGUGGCAGUGAACCUCACUAGCAUCCAUGAGGAUGUGGGUUUGAUCCCUGGCCUCACACAGUGGGUUAAGGAUCCAGCGUUGCUCUGAGCUGUGGUAUGGGCUAGCAGCUGCAGCUCUGAUUAUACCCCAAGCCUGGGAACUUUCAUAUGGUGCAGGUGAGGCCCUAAAAACAAAUGUGUGUGUGUGUGUGUGUGUGUGUGUGUGUGUAUAUGAUUUAACUCAUUUACAAAAAAAAAAACAACCUCAGACAUAGAAAACAAUCAGGGGGAAGGGGAGGGAGUAGAAGGGACUGGGAACUUGGGGUAAAUAGAUACAGAAUGUUGCCUCAGGGAUGGAUUAGCAAUGGGAUCCUGCUGUGUAGCACUGGGAACUCUGUCUAGUCACUUAUGAUGGAACACAUAAUGUGAGAAAAAAGAAUGUAUACAUGUAAGUGUAAUGUGUCACCAUGCUGUACAGUAGAAAAAAAAUAUGUAUAUAUAAAUAAAUUUAAAAAAGAGUCAGG
rnacentral:lncRNA from 1 species